CUUCUCUCCCCCGUUGUCUAUCCAGUGCUCAUUUUAGUAAUUUUCAUGUCAUAGAAGCUCGCGUGGGUGUUGCUGCUGGCUGCAUGCUGUUCACCACUCCUUAUGCCUCUCACUGUUCGCUGCUGGUAGAUCUCGUGUAGCUUCGCUCCCUCCGCUCCACGCUGUGUUGUCCUGGACUGCUUGACCAGCCUUAGCUUCCUCCUCCAGCCAUUGUGCUGAGUCUACGGUGGUGGAUUGGUGUCCCUGUGAUGGUGUUCCCCUUGUGUUGUGUUUUGCACGUCAGGUGGUUUUUGCUUCCUAUUUAGUUGCUUCAUGUGUGGUGUUCCUGGGAUUCCCCUUUUUAUUUGCACCAUCUGGCACUGUGAGUCUCAGCCCUGAUUGGUUUUCCCUUGAUUGUCCCAGAGCGAGUGACAUUUUAUUCU